rnacentral:rRNA from 1 species
GAUGAACGCUGGCGGCGUGCCUAAUACAUGCAAGUCGAGCGAACAGACGAGGAGCUUGCUCCUCUGACGUUAGCGGCGGAUGGGUGAGUAACACGUGGAUAACCUACCUAUAAGAAUGGGAUAACUUCGGGAACCCGGAGCUAAUACCGGAAAAUAUAUUGAACCGCAUGGUUCAAUAGUGAAAGACGGUUUUGCUGUCACUUAUAGAUGGAACCGAGCCGCAUUAGCUAGUUGGUAAGGUAACGGCUUACCAAGGCAACGAUGCGUAGCCGACCCGAGAGGGUGAUCGGCCACACUGGAACUGAGACACGGUCCAGACUCCGACGGGAGGCAGCAGUAGGGAAUCUUCCGCAAUGGGCGAAAGCCUGAUGGAGCAACGCCGCGUGAGUGAUGAAGGUCUUCGGAUCGUAAAACACUGUUAUUAGGGAAGAACAAAUGUGUAAGUAACUAUGCACGUCUUGACGGUACCUAAUCAGAAAGCCACGGCUAACUACGUG